GACGAACGCUGGCGGCGUGCUUAACACAUGCAAGUCGAACGAAGUGGCGAACGGGUGAGUAACGCGUAAUCAACCUGCCCUUAAGAGGGGGACAACAGUUAGAAACGACUGCUAAUACCGACUAAUGCAGGCGGGGAUUGCGUCGGAUUAGCUAGUUGGAGGGGUAACGGCCAACCAAGGCGAUGCUCAGUCGCCGGUCUGAGAGGGUGAACGGCCACAGUGGGACUGAGACACGGCCCAGACUCCUACGGGAGGCAGCAGUGGGUAAUCUUCCGAAAUGGACGAAAGUCUGACGGAGCAACGCCGCGUGAGUGAUGACGGCCUUCGGGUUGUAAAGCUCUGUUAAUCGGGACGCGGUACCGGAAUAGAAAGCCACGGCUAACUACGUGCCAGCAGCCGCGGUAAUAC
rnacentral:rRNA from 1 species